CGCCUCUUGAUUUCAAUAAGAGGUCCAGCCUGCCCAGUGACUCUGUUCAACGGCCGCGGUAUCCUAACCGUGCGAAGGUAGCGUAAUCACUUGUUCUUUAAUUGUGGACUAGUAUGAAUGGCACCACGAGGGUUAUACUGUCUCCUUUUUCUAAUCAAUGAAACUAAUCUCCCCGUGAAGAAGCGGGGAUAAAAAUAUAAGACGAGAAGACCCUAUGGAGCUUUAAACAUUUUAGCAGCUACCACACAACAUGUAAUUUUCUGAACCACUUAAUUUACAAGGUAGCAUGACUAUAAGUUUUUGGUUGGGGUGACCACGGAGCACAAUAAAACCUCCACGCCGAAAGAUAUGACCAUCUAAGCUAAGACCUACGUGUCCAAGCAUCAGCACACUGACACUCCUUGACCCAAUACAGUUGAGCAACGAACCAAGUUACCCUAGGGAUAACAGCGCAAUCCACUUCAAGAGCCCCUAUCGACAGGUGGGUUUACGACCUCGAUGUUGGAUCAGGGUAUCCAAGUGGUGCAGCCGCUACUAAAGGUUCGUUUGUUCAACGAUUAAAACCCUACG
rnacentral:rRNA from 1 species